rnacentral:rRNA from 1 species
CAGCGACGCCGCGUGGGUGAUGACGGCCUUCGGGUUGUAAAGCCCUUUUGCCACUGAUGAGGAAGGACAGUAGGUGGCGAAUAAGCCUCGGCUAACUACGUGCC